UACAGAGGGUGCAAGCGUUGUUCGGAAUUAUUGGGCGUAAAGCGCGUGUAGGCGGCUUUGCAAGUCGGGUGUGAAAGCCCUCAGCUCAACUGAGGAAGCGCGCCCGAAACUGCAGAGCUUGAGUACCGGAGAGGAUGGUGGAAUUCCCCAAGUAGAGGUGAAAUUCGUAGAUAUGGGGAGGAACACCGGUGGCGAAGGCGACCAUCUGGACGGAUACUGACGCUGAGACGCGAAAGCGUGGGUAGCAAACAGG
rnacentral:rRNA from 1 species